GGGGUUGUGGCUCAGUGGUAGAGUGCUUGCCUAGGAUGUGUGAAGGACUGGGUUCGAUUCUCAGCACCA
rfam:Ictidomys tridecemlineatus contig045650, whole genome shotgun sequence.